rnacentral:rRNA from 1 species
UACGUAGGCAGCGAGCGUUGUUCGGAGUUACUGGGCGUAAAGGGUGUGUAGGCGGUUGUUUAAGUUUGGGGUGAAAUCUCCCGGCUCAACUGGGAGGGUGCGCCGAAUACUGAAUGACUAGAGUGCGGGAGAGGAAAGUGGAAUUCCUGGUGUAGCAGUGAAAUGCGUAGAGAUCAUGAGGAAGACCAGUGGCGAAGGCGGGUCUCUGGACAGUUCCUGACGCUGAGGCACGAAGGCCAGGGGAGCAAACGGG